rnacentral:lncRNA from 1 species
GAAAUUUUCAGAUGAAUCGGACAACCUGUUGUUGGGUUGCUGCCCCUGAAUUGGUAAUUUUAAGGAAAUUUUGCUGUUUUUGGUUAUUAUCUUGAAUAUUAUUAUAGAUAGAGAUGAACGGUAAACAGCAAUAAUGUUCAGCAAAGUAAGAUUUACAAAUAAGUCAGCAUGACCAAAAUGGUCAGUUGACCCCCUGAAGGAGUUAUUGCCCUUUAUAGUCAAUUUUUAACCAUUUUUUCGUAAAUCUUAGUAAUCUUUUACAAAAAUCUUCUUCUCUGAAACUACUGGGCCAAAUUAAACUAAACUUUGCCACAAUCAUCAUUGGGGUAAUUUGUUUAAAAAAUGUGUGGCGUGACCUGGCCAAUCAACCAAAAUGGCUGCCACGGCUAAUAAUAGAACAUAGGGGUAAAAUGCAGUUUUUGGCUUAUAACUCAAAAAACCGAAGCAUUAAGAGAAAAUCUGACAGGGUUUAAUUGUUUAUCAGGUCAAGAUCUAUCUGCCCUGAUGUUUUCACAUGGAUCGGACAACCCGUUGUUAGGUUACUGUCCUGAAUUGGUAAUUUUAAGGAAAUUUUGCCGUUUUUUGUUAUUAUCUUGAAUAUUAUUAUAGAUAGAGAUAAACUGUAUC